rnacentral:rRNA from 1 species
UCCAGCCAUGCCGCGUGUGUGAAGAAGGCCUUCGGGUUGUAAAGCACUUUCAGCGAGGAAGAACGCCUUGGGAUUAAUACUCCCGAGGAAAGACAUCACUCGCAGAAGAAGCACCGGCUAACUCCGUGCCAGCAGCCGCGGUAAUACGGAGGGUGCAAGCGUUAAUCGGAAUUACUGGGCGUAAAGCGCGCGUAGGUGGCUAAGUCAGCCAGGUGUGAAAGCCCCGGGCUCAACCUGGGAACGGCAUCUGGAACUGCUUGGCUAGAGUGCAGGAGAGGAAGGUAGAAUUCCCGGUGUAGCGGUGAAAUGCGUAGAGAUCGGGAGGAAUACCAGUGGCGAAGGCGGCCUUCUGGACUGACACUGACACUGAGGUGCGAAAGCGUGGGUAGCAAACAGGAUUAGAUACCCUGGUAGUCCACGCCGUAAACGAUGUCAACUAGCCGUUGGGUCCCUUGAGGACUUAGUGGCGCAGCUAACGCAAUAAGUUGACCGCCUGGGGAGUACGGCCGCAAGGUUAAAACUCAAAUGAAUUGACGGGGGCCCGCACAAGCGGUGGAGCAUGUGGUUUAAUUCGAUGCAACGCGAAGAACCUUACCUACCCUUGACAUCCAGAGGACUUUCCAGAGAUGGAUUGGUGCCUUCGGGAACUCU